AACAGUACACAACAGCAGCAGUAGCAUAUGUGAAUUUCAUUUUCGCUCGACGGAGCUUUCUUGGAAACAGUUUCUUGCUUGCAGCCGAGACUCGAGAGAGGUGCUGGUGGAAAGGAGCGCGGGGGGGUUGGAGUCGAGUUUCACCGACUUGUCGCAAUUCGAUCCACUCGCCUACGACUCUGCUCGUCGUCGUCCAUAUAAUGAAGCCAAGCGACUUGAUGAAAUGUCGUCAAAAAGAAUUUUCGGAAUGUUUUUUUUAUUUUCCUUGGUGGGGGGGCACGUCGUUCAUCAUCCCGCGACCACUUGUUUGUUGACUCGCAACUCUAUUUCAAUGGCCUUCUUAUUUAUUUUUCAUUUGCUUUUUAUUUUUACGAUUUAUAAGCGACGGGACUAUUCAUGUCUUUCAGUUUGUUUAUUUUCAGACGUGAUGAUUUAUCGCGACUCGAUUUCAACAAAUCGCGCGAACGUGAGCGAAAUUCUUUUUCGGUUAAAACACGAAGUGAUUAGACGGUAAUUGGAGAAUUAAGCGCAUAAAAAUU